UGGGGGAUAUUGCACAAUGGGCGAAAGCCUGAUGCAGCGACGCCGCGUGGGGGAUGAAGGCUUUCGGGUUGUAAACCUCUUUCGCUAUCGAACAAGGCCCGCUUAGGGUGGGUUGAGGGUAGGUGGAGAAGAAGCGCCGGCUAACUACGUGCCAGCAGCCGCGGUAAUACGUAGGGCGCGAGCGUUGUCCGGAAUUAUUGGGCGUAAAGGGCUUGUAGGCGGCUUGUUGCGCCUGCUGUGAAAACGCGGGGCUUAACUUCGCGCGUGCAGUGGGUACGGGCAGGCUUGAGCGUGGUAGAGGUGACUGGAAUUCCAGGUGUAGCGGUGGAAUGCGCAGAUAUCUGGAGGAACACCGAUGGCGAAGGCAGGUCACUGGGCCAUUACUGACGCUGAGGAGCGAAAGCAUGGGUAGCGAACAGG
rnacentral:rRNA from 1 species